AUUGAACGCUGGCGGCAGGCCUAACACAUGCAAGUCGAACGAGAGGCGGACGGGUGCGUAAUGUCUGGGAAACUGCCUGAUGGAGGGGGAUAACUACUUGAAAAGGUAGCUAAUACCGCAUACCAUCGGAUGUGCCCAGAGGGGCUUAGCUAGUAGGUGGGGUAACGGCUCACCUAGGCGACGCUCCCUAGCUGGUCUGAGAGGAUGACCAGCCACACUGGAAUGGAGGCCCGGUCCAGAUUCCUACGGGAGGCAGCAGUGGGGAAUAUUGCACAAUGGGCGCAAGCCUGAUGCAGCCAUGCCGCGUGUAUGAAGAAGGCCUUCGGGUUGUAAAGUACUUUCAGCGGGGAGGCGUUACCCGCAGAAGAAGCACCGGCUAACUCCGUGCCAGCAGCCGCGGUAAUAC
rnacentral:rRNA from 1 species